AUUGAACGCUGGCGGCAGGCCUAACACAUGCAAGUCGAACGGUAACAGAAAGCAGCUUGCUGCUUUGCUGACGAGUGGCGGACGGGUGAGUAAUGUCUGGGAAACUGCCUGAUGGAGGGGGAUAACUACUGGAAUCGGUAGCUAAUACCGCAUAACGUCGCAAGACCAAAGAGGGGGACCUUCGGGCCUCUUGCCAUCGGAUGUGCCCAGAUGGGAUUAGCUAGUAGGUGGGGUAACGGCUCACCUAGGCGACGAUCCCUAGCUGGUCUGAGAGGAUGACCAGCCACACUGGAACUGAGACACGGUCCAGACUCCUACGGGAGGCAGCAGUGGGGAAUAUUGCACAAUGGGCGCAAGCCUGAUGCAGCCAUGCCGCGUGUAUGAAGAAGGCCUUCGGGUUGUAAAGUACUUUAAGCGGGGAGGAAGGGAGUAAAGUUAAUACCUUUGCUCAUUGACGUUACCCGCAGAAGAAGCACCGGCUAACUCCGUG
rnacentral:rRNA from 1 species